rnacentral:piRNA from 1 species
GUGUGCUCCCACAUGUACCCAGGGUCUG